GCAAACUUGGUCAUUUAGAGGAAGUAAAAGUCGUAACAAGGUUUCCGUAGGUGAACCUGCGGAAGGAUCAUUAAUGAAACCCACGGGGGCCCGCCCGCCCUCGCACCGGUGGAAACGCCGUGCUGCGGGGCGGUCGGGUCCUUUCCACACCCACACCUGUGCACCUUUGGGGCGGUUACGGUGGUGACGCCGGCCGCCUCGUCUUCACACACUCCGAGUGUACACAGAAUGAUCGGGGUCGUUGUGCCCUCCAACAAAUAACAACUUUCAACAACGGAUCUCUUGGCUCUCGCAUCGAUGAAGAACGCAGC
rnacentral:misc_RNA from 1 species